UACGUAGGGGGCAAGCGUUGUCCGGAUUUAUUGGGCGUAAAGAGCGUGUAGGCGGCCGUACAGGUCAGCUGUGAAAACUCGAGGCUCAACCUCGAGACGUCGGUUGAAACCGUACGGCUAGAGUCCGGAAGAGGAGAGUGGAAUUCCCGGUGUAGCGGUGAAAUGCAUUGAGAUCGGAAAGAACACCAACGGCGAAAGCACUCUGCUGGGCCGACACUGACACUGAGAGACGAAAGCUAGGGGAGCAAAUGGG
rnacentral:rRNA from 1 species